rnacentral:rRNA from 1 species
CGGAGAGAGUGGCAGACGGGUGAGUAACGCGUGGGAAUCUACCUAGUUCUACGGGAUAGCCAUUGGAAACGAUGAUUAAUACCGUAUACGCCCUAAGGGGGAAAGAUUUAUCGGAAUUAGAUGAGCCCGCGUUAGAUUAGUUUGUUGGUGGGGUAAUGGCCUACCAAGACUACGAUCUAUAGCUGGUUUGAGAGGAUGAUCAGCCACACUGGGACUGAGACACGGCCCAGACUCC